rnacentral:lncRNA from 1 species
AAAUAAAGCAAAAAACAAAAGCACCAAUGGCGCUUCUUCUUCUGUGAGAUAUCCUUCUUCAUCUGCAGCUCAGAAAAGUCCACAAGCAACUAAGCAAGUGCCAAAAGUCCAGCAACAAACAAAAAAAAAAUUGGAGCCUCUUCUUCGCAAAGAGUUUCUUCACCGUGUGUUAGAGCAAUCGCUAAAACUCCACAGGUAAGCUUUGUGAAGCUCUCAUCAUCUCCUCAACUACAACAACAAAAAUGGAACGCCCAAAACACAAGUGGUGCUACCUAUUCACAGAUGUCACAUGAAACGGUUGCUGCUGCAGAAAAGGACGUUCUUACACGUUUCUUGAAGUUGCUGAGUUCUGUUUUUCGCCUUUCACGAAUGCUUUAUGAUAUGAUACGAAUCCUUUUUCGUCUCUAGACUUAACUACAAGAUUUCAUAUCUUUCACGACUCGGUCUAGUUUAAAGAUUUGUGGUAGUUCCGUUUGAUUCAAGAAUAUUGGGUUUCAUGUUUUACUAAAUCUUUACAGGACAGCUUCUAUUGGUUUUCUUCUCUAAUCACAUCCAAACAGUUUUUAAGAAAACAACGUUUGUUGUAAACAAUUUGCGUGUCCUGUAAUGAAACAUAUGUAUUUGUUGGGUUUAUAUAUACAUAUGUUUCACAAAGAAAUAGUUGUUAGAUGGAGUACUAAAAACUUUUUACCACUCGGCUGUCAAGUAGAUAAAGACCACAAAGACCUAUCAUUUGUGUUGAUCAGAUAUCCGAGGCCAAAUGCUU